UGGGGGAUAUUGCACAAUGGGCGAAAGCCUGAUGCAGCAACGCCGCGUGAGGGAAGACGGUUUUCGGAUUGUAAACCUCUGUUUUUGGUGACGAACAAAAUGACGGUAGCCGAAGAGGAAGCCCCGGCUAACUACGUGCCAGCAGCCGCGGUAAUACGUAGGGGGCAAGCGUUGUCCGGAAUUACUGGGUGUAAAGGGAGCGCAGGCGGGAAGGCAAGUCAGCUGUGAAAUGUACGGGCUUAACCCGUGAACUGCAGUUGAAACUGUUUUUCCUGAGUGGAGUAGAGGUAGGCGGAAUUCCGCGUGUAGCAGUGAAAUGCGUAGAUAUGCGGAGGAACACCGAUGGCGAAGGCAAUCCCCUGGACCUGUACUGACGCUCAUGCACGAAAGCGUGGGGAGCAAACA
rnacentral:rRNA from 1 species